rnacentral:rRNA from 1 species
GACGAACGCUGGCGGCGCGCUUAACACAUGCAAGUCGAACGGAAAGGCCUGCUUUCCCUUGUGGAUUGCGGGUACUCGAGUGGCGAACGGGUGAGUAACACGUGAGUGAUCUGCCCCCAACUUGGGUAUAAGCCUGGGAAACUGGGUCUAAUUCCCGAUAGGACUGCAGGGUGGUGCCUGUGGUGGAAAACGAUUUUCUAGUGGUUGGGGAUGAGCUCGCGGCCUAUCAGCUUGUUGGUGGGGUAAUGGCCUACCAAGGCGGCGACGGGUAGCCGGCCUGAGAGGGUGGACAGCCACAUUGGGACUGAGAUACGGCCCAGACUCCUACGGGAGGCAGCAGUGGGGAAUAUUGCACAAUGGGCGGAAGCCUGAUGCAGCGACGCCGCGUGGGGGAUGACGGCCUUCGGGUUGUAAACUCCUUUCGACCGCGAGGAAGCCACCUGGUUGGAAGGGUGGUGACGGUAGUGGUAGAAGAAGCACCGGCUAACUACGUG